UAUAUUAUCUAGAGUCCCGACCGGUACCCGUCCUACCUGAAACACCCUCAAAUUUUAUUCGAGGUGAACUCUCUCAAAUUCGAGGUAAACUCUCUCAAAUUCGCUAUCGGUGAAUACAUGUGAGUGGAGAAAAAAAAAGCAAAAUGGGGGAUUGGGCUUAAAAGAAACUUAUGGAAUUUUUGUGACCUGUCAAAAAUGACAAUCAAUUUUGCAAAACAAAACAAUAGGUUUCGGAUUUUAAGAACCAAAAUUCUUUAUGAUGAAGAGGGUAUAUACAAGUUUACUUCAUUGAAUAAAAAUCUAUCUUUUCAUUUUAGAUAGUGCGAAUAACAUACUCUCAUACAGGAAGCAAUUUCCCUAAGAAAUCUGUAAGUCCAAGCACACAAAGGGCUGAUUUGCCGGAAGUUUUUUUGUAUAUUAUAUUUCUCUUAGCAAAAUACUUCUCAAGGGCCAUAGCUGCCUCAGGCGUUGACGGUGGAGGUGUCACCAUCUCUACCAAUAGUCAAACGCAUUCAAUGCAACAAAACCAUCAGCAACAACACUACCAAGUCAAUGAUGCAAGUUUAAGUUUUGCCAUUCAAUAUUCGACCGUUAACGCCUUACUCCCAGCAGCUGAGUGUUGGUGUUGAAACAAAAUAACAGCACCAACUGGCAACUCAAUAUUCAUCAGCUGCCAAGAAAUAAAAUGCGAGCCGUUCAAAAAAAAA